GACGAAGGAUGCAAGCGUUAUCCGGAUUCAUUGGGUUUAAAGGGUGCGUAGGCGGACUUGUAAGUCAGUGGUGAAAUCUCUUUGCUUAACAAAGAAACUGCCAUUGAUAUUGCAGGUCUAGAGUAUAGAUGACGUUGGCGGAAUAUGACAUGUAGUGGUGAAAUACUUAGAUAUGUCAUAGAACACCGAUUGCGAAGGCAGCUAACGAAACUAUAACUGACGCUGAGGCACGAAAGUGCGGGGAUCAAACAGG
rnacentral:rRNA from 1 species